CUGUUCCGUGACUGCUGUGGGGAAGACGGUGGCUUUAGCUUGGCUGCUCUCGCAGUUGUUUAUGGUUUGUUGCAGUGUGAGGGUUUUGGGGGGCUUUUUAAACAUCUCACUCGUGUGUGCCUCCGGGCAGCGUCACCGCUACGACACUGCGAUGUUUCAGCCGCCGCAGGGCAGGGUUUAAAUCCAAAGCAGGGCCCCUGCUUUCGCUUAAAAAAGGGAGGGAAAGAAAGCUGGAAAUAGGUUGCCGUUUUUGUACAAUCCUUUCAAAUGUCUUGACUGCUUCCGUGUUUAAAAUAUACUGUCCUUUUUACAAGGUCGGAAUUAGUAAAAUAGAUGUAAAAGUUGAAGGCUGCCCCUCUGCUUUUGCCACUAGUUUACCAUUAAGGUGGUUGCUACUUUUCCGUAUUGCUGGUAGCUGGAAAAUCUUUUCUUUUUUAAAAUGUAAGGUGUCAGUAGGUGGCCUAACAGUUGGAGCUGAAUUGUAGUUCUUUGAGGUUAUUUGGUGGUUGUUUUCUCCUUGGUAGGAACCAGUCAGUGCAUUUCCGUCUGAAGCACUACGGUGUGAGCUGUGCUGAUCGCUGUUGGCGCCUCACGUGUGGAGGAGCGGAGAUCAGGACAAUUGAUGCAGCUCACAAGCAGGCUUGUCUCAUUUCACACUAAGCUGUGCACGGGCUGGCACGGGAUUCAACAUCUGGGGAACAAAUGACGAUGGGCACGUUGCCAGUUUUGUUCAAACCAAGCAGGUGAUAUAUUUGGAUGAGUCUGUGUCAUCUUUCAUACAGAUUCAAGGAUCUGUUCCAUUACUUUGGGAACAGCCAGGACUGCAGGUGGGAUCCCAUCGUGUCAGGAUGUCAAGGGGUUUCGAGGCAAACGCACUCGCUUUUAACAGGCGUUUCCAAACUCUUAAGAAUUUACAUGGCAAGCAACUUAUUGUAAAUUUACUUGGGGCAAAAGAAGGAGAGCACACGCUCAGCAAAGUUUUCCAGUUUAUCAAUUUAAAUAUGGAGCUGCUCCAUGAUUAGCGGGAAAUGUUUGUUCAGAAGGUGUUAACUAUUAAGUGGCUGCUCUCAUUAAUUCCCAGUGGUUAGUUGAAAAGAAAACCUCACUUUGCAGUUCAUAAAUAGUGACCAUUUGAGGAGCUGUGUCAGAAGGCAGAGAACAUAGACAUUUGAAAGCAUCUGAACAUUCAGCUGAUGUCAAAAUGGUGAACUUCGACUAUCAUCAGAUGGUUAAAGGUGGAAAGGCAGAAAAACUACACAGUGUGCUCAAAACUCAAGUCCAGAAAUUUUUAGUGUGGAUUUUUUGAUUUUGAUGGAAAGGAGGCAAAAAGAUGCUGACAGAACAGCUGGAGGUAUUAGGAUUAGCUGAGAAGCCUCAGUUAGUUCCUGGCUUUCAGGAAGUUUUCCUAUCCUUGUGGUCUGUGAAUGGUGAUUCUGUCAGGAAAAUUUAUGCUGGAACUGGAGCCCUUGAAGGAAAAGCAAAGGUAAAGUACAUCUUCUCAAAUGCUUUGGCAAUGUUCAGUAUGGGUUCUAAUAAAUUCUGCCAUGAAUAUAGCAAUGAUGAGAUUUCCUCUAAAAAACGUGCUCUUUGUAAUCCUAAAACAAUCCCAAACAAAACCCAACCAACCAAAAAAAUUAAUUUAAAGUGGUUGGUUCUGUUGAUAACCUGGUCAUGUUCCUGUUCAUCUCUUCCUAGCCAUGCUCCUGCCUCCCACAAAACACCAUUGUGUGUGCAAGGUUAAGGCUCAAACCUUCCAUUUCUUUAGAACAUAGCUCAGAAAAAUACAUAUUCGAAUCAGCUUUAGUUUCAUUGAGUAUUUUUUCUUUCCUUUCUGUACCUCUCCUGCUAUUAUUUCAGCCCCAUUCACUAUUGCUCCUUUUCAAGUGUGUUUGCUGGGAUGUUGGUUGUAUUUUUAGUGUUUAAUAGUGUUAAUACUAAUCCAUUUGUAGCCUGGUGGGUUUGGUCUGCAUGUUCGUCCAGCUUUUUCUUUUUAGUUUUGCAGUUUCUGAAAAAAUCCCAAAUUUUGUUUCUACCUUGCUUUCUAACACUGUGAGAACAGUUCCAUGUUCCAUGGCAGUUGGAAUGUUUCUCUUCAGCUUGUUUUGUCUUGGUUGAUGCCUGAGUUAUUCCCAUUUUCAAAUGCUGUCUUUUGGUUUUUUUCCUCACAAUGUUGCUUCGUAGUUGCCCUAAUCCUGUGCCAGCUUUUACCUGUCAAGACAAAUGCUGACCUGUAGCAAAUUUUGCCCUUAGUUCCUUCAAGAAUGUCUUUUCACACUGUUCUUUGUGCUAAAGAAUGUGCUGCUUCUCAUUCCAUGUUAUAUCCUGUGUACCCAUAGCCAGCCGUUUUGGAUUUUCCAUCAUUUGUUCAUUCACACUGUGCCAGGGUCCUUCUCUGCUCGUGUAGGAGGUACCACAGCAAAAUACACAAAACCAAAAGAAUCAAAUAACCUUGUUGCUUCUUCUGCCCCUUGACUGGUGCAUACAAGACUUCUUCAUUUGGGAAUUGCUUGUGUUUUACUAUGGAGUAGAAUUUGGUUCAAGAUGUUUAGUUUUAUUUUCUUACAAAAAUGUCACCCAGACUGCCAGGAAAACUGCAGUAAGUAUUUUAUGGAGUGUCUCCCCUUGUCUUGACUUUCCCAUUCAACCUUCUUAGUUCCUUUUCCUAAAUUAAUUGUUUUCUAUUUCAUCUAGUUCAUUUGGCCGUUUGUUUUUGUUUUUACUUUGAAAAAUGCAUUGAAUGUAUUUCCAUUUCUAAUGUUUAAAACACAGAGUAGAUGUCCUGGUUUCAGUUUGUUAAACCAUGACAGUACAUU